AUUGAACGCUGGCGGCAGGCUUAACACACGCAAGUCGAGCGGAGACUUCGGUCUUAGCGGCGAACGGGUGAGUAAUACCUAGGAAUCUGCCUAUUAGUGGGGGAUAACGAAUCGAAAGGUUCGCUAAUACCGCAUACGUCCUACGGGANAAAGGGGGGGAUCUUCGGACCUCUCGCUAAUAGAUGAGCCUAGGCCGGAUUAGCUAGUUGGUAGGGUAAAGGCCUACCAAGGCGACGAUCUGUAGCUGGUCUGAGAGGAUGGCCAGCCACACUGGAACUGAGACACGGUCCAGACUCCUACGGGAGGCAGCAGUGGGGAAUAUUGGACAAUGGGGGCAACCCUGAUCCAGCCAUGCCGCGUGUGUGAAGAAGGCCUUCGGGUUGUAAAGCACUUUAAGCGAGGAGGAAGGUUUUUAGUUUAAUACACUAAAGAAUUGACGUUACUCGCAGAAUAAGCACCGGCUAACUCUGUG
rnacentral:rRNA from 1 species